rnacentral:rRNA from 1 species
UCGGCUUAGAGUUUGAUCAUGGCUCAGGACGAACGCUGGCGGCAUGCCUAAUACAUGCAAGUCGAGCGGGGUGAAAGCUUGCUUUCAUUAGCGGCGGACGGGUGAGUAACACGUAGGCAACCUGCCUUAUCGUCUGGGAUAACUUCCGGAAACGGAUGCUAAUACCGGAUACAUCAUCCUGGCAUCGGAGAUGAGGAAAGACGGCAAUGUCGCUAUAAGAUGGGCCUGCGGCGCAUUAGCUAGUUGGUGGGGUAAUGGCUCACCAAGGCGACGAUGCGUAGCCGACCUGAGAGGGUGAACGGCCACACUGGGACUGAGACACGGCCCAGACUCCUACGGGAGGCAGCAGUAGGGAAUCUUCCACAAUGGGCGAAAGCCUGAUGGAGCAAUGCCGCGUGAGUGAUGAAGGUUUUCGGAUCGUAAAGCUCUGUUGCCAGGGAAGAACGUCCAGGUGGUAACACCUGGAGUGACGGUACCUGAGAAGAAAGCCCCGGCUAACUACGUGCCAGCAGCCGCGGUAAUACGUAGGGGGCAAGCGUUGUCCGGAAUUAUUGGGCGUAAAGCGCGUGCAGGCGGCUUCUUAAGUCGGGUGUUUAAGACCGGGGCUCAACCCCGGCUCGCACCCGAAACUGGGAAGCUUGAGUGUAGGAGAGGAAAGUGGAAUUCCACGUGUAGCGGUGAAAUGCGUAGAGAUGUGGAGGAACACCA